GCGGACGGGUGAGUAACACGUGGAUAACCUACCUAUAAGACUGGGAUAACUUCGGGAAACCGGAGCUAAUACCGGAUAAUAUUUUGAACCGCAUGGUUCAAAAGUGAAAGACGGUCUUGCUGUCACUUAUAGAUGGAUCCGCGCUGCAUUAGCUAGUUGGUAAGGUAACGGCUUACCAAGGCAACGAUGCAUAGCCGACCUGAGAGGGUGAUCGGCCACACUGGAACUGAGACACGGUCCAGACUCCUACGGGAGGCAGCAGUAGGGAAUCUUCCGCAAUGGGCGAAAGCCUGACGGAGCAACGCCGCGUGAGUGAUGAAGGUCUUCGGAUCGUAAAACUCUGUUAUUAGGGAAGAACAUAUGUGUAAGUAACUGUGCACAUCUUGACGGUACCUAAUCAGAAAGCCACGGCUAACUACGUGCCAGCAGCCGCGGUAAUACGUAGGUGGCAAGCGUUAUCCGGAAUUAUUGGGCGUAAAGCGCGCGUAGGCGGUUUUUUAAGUCUGAUGUGAAAGCCCACGGCUCAACCGUGGAGGGUCAUUGGAAACUGGAAAACUUGAGUGCAGAAGAGGAAAGUGGAAUUCCAUGUGUAGCGGUGAAAUGCGCAGAGAUAUGGAGGAACACCAGUGGCGAAGGCGACUUUCUGGUCUGUAACUGACGCUGAUGUGCGAAAGCGUGGGGAUCAAACAGGAUUAGAUACCCUGGUAGUCCACGCCGUAAACGAUGAGUGCUAAGUGUUAGGGGGUUUCCGCCCCUUAGUGCUGCAGCUAACGCAUUAAGCACUCCGCCUGGGGAGUACGACCGCAAGGUUGAAACUCAAAGGAAUUGACGGGGACCCGCACAAGCGGUGGAGCAUGUGGUUUAAUUCGAAGCAACGCGAAGAACCU
rnacentral:rRNA from 1 species